GCCGGGUGUUGUGGUGGGCACCUGUAGUCCCAGCUACUUGGGAGGCUGAGGCAAGAGAAUCGCCUGAGCCCAGGAGUUGGAGGUUGCUAUGAGCUGUGUGAUGCCAUGGCACUCUACCAAGGGCAAUAAAGUGAGACUUUGUCUCUA
rnacentral:SRP_RNA from 1 species